rnacentral:misc_RNA from 1 species
UCCGGCUUAUCACCGGCAGUCCCUUUAGAGUGCCCAACUAAAUGAUGGCAACUAAAGGCGAGGGUUGCGCUCGUUGCGGGACUUAACCCAACAUCUCACGACACGAGCUGACGACAGCCAUGCGCCACCUGCACACCAACCACAAGGGAACUGAUAUCUCUACCAGCGUCUGGCGCAUGUCAAACCCAGGUAAGGUUCUUCGCGUUGCAUCGAAUUAAUCCACAUGCUCCGCCGCUUGUGCGGGCCCCCGUCAAUUCCUUUGAGUUUCAGCCUUGCGGCCGUACUCCCCAGGCGGGGCACUUAAUGCGUUAGCGCCGGCACUCAGGGGGUCGCUCCCCCAAACACCUAGUGCCCAUCGUUUACGGCGUGGACUAC